AUGAAGACAAAGCGAUGUUGGAGUGAUGCAGCUACAAGCCAAGGAAUGCCAAGCAUUGUCAGCAACUGCUGGAAGCUGGAAGAAAGACGUGGAACGGAUUCUCUCUUGGAGCCUUCAGAAGGAACCAACUCAGCCGACACCUUGAUCUGCCUUCCGGCCUCCAGAGCUGUGAGACAAUCAAUUUCUGUUGCUUUAAAACUACCCAGUCUGUGGUGCUUUGUUAUGGCAGCCCUAGGGAACGAAAACAGACAUUUUCACAUUGACCAGGUUUACGUGACUGAUCACAUUCAGUUCGGGAACUAUAAUUCUUAUUGGCCUGAACCAUGGAACUGGAGCCCAGAAAAGCUCGGCCUGCCUUGAAGGAGAGAGUGAGGUGAUGGGAUUUAUGAAUGGCGCCCAGAGUGGAAACAUGGACCCUGCAGUGGGACUGCAGACACACGGCACUGUGCAGUGUGCUUGUGAGUCUGAGUCAGGCAAGUCUGUUACGUUUCAUCAGAUAAACACAGUUGUCAGAGCUGGCUGGGGAUGCCACAGGCAGUUGUCUAAAACAGGGUCUGAAAUCAGUCAGCGGCUUCAGCCUUUACCCUAAGACGAUUCUAUUUGUGUGAACUGUUUUCUUUAUCCCAAUAGGGCAGUCUUCGUAUUAACCCAUUUCUCCAUUAGUUUGAACUUCUCGCUCUCCCCAAAUAUGCCAUUUGGGGGAGGAAUGUUUUUAAAGCGUAGUAAAGUAAGUGCCAUGAGGGCCCUAGCAUCAUAAAUAUUCACCAUGAUUUAUUCAUCACAACAGACCUUCUGAGCCCACUGCCUGCUGCUGUCAUCCUUAUGUUAUCCUUACACAGCCUGGUGAUGCAGAGUGUAUUAUUCUCUUCUCCCACUGCAAUAAAGAAGUACCUGAGACCGGCCAUUUAUUUUAAAAAAGAGGUUUAAUUGGCCCACAGUUCCACAGUCUAUUCAGGAAGCAUGGCUCGGGAGGCCUCAGGAAACUUACAAUCGUGGUGGGAGGCGAAGAGGAAGCAGGUACGUCUUCCAUGGCUGGAGCAAGAGAAAGGAGCUGGGGAGGUGCCACCCACUUUUAAACAACCAGAUCUCGUGAGAAGUCACUCACUAUCAUGAGAACAGCAAGGGGGAAAUCCGUCCCCAUGAUCCAAUCAUCUCCCACCAGGCUCCUCCUCCAACAUUGGGGAUCACAAUUUGACAUGAGAUUUGGGCGGGGACACAGAUCCAAACCAUAUCACAGCAUAAGGGUGUUUAUCCUCUUCUUUGGGUCAUACAUGGGGAGAUAGAAGCACAAAAGAGGCCUAUUGCUUACCAAAAAGACACUCAACAACUGAACAACUCAACAACCCAACCCAGGAAUCAUCUUGAGACACCAAGAGUCCCAAGCGUGUCACUUCCCACUGCAGACUGUGCAGCUCCUCCGGCAGGCUCGUCACAGCUCAUCCAAAGCUAGGAAGUAGGGCCUCUCUGUCAGAGAAUGGAGCUAUUCAGUAUUGUUUGGAUGGUUAUGGAUUUAACAUGCGGUCCCACUGACAGGAUAGCAGUUACUCUUGUUUACAAUGUUUUCCAAGGAAAAAGCUUUAUGACUUAAAACUCAAGUGUUUUUCUACUUGAUGUCAUUGUAGGCCACUUCUUGCACCCAGCCUUAGAGGAAUCGCUGGAUGCAGAAGCGCUACUGUGUGUACCAUACUGUGAGCUCAUGCAGAGCAGAGACUUUUCUUGGUAUGUUUCCCAGCCCCUGUCAUUCUACCU
ensembl:lncRNA